GAUGAACGCUGGCGGCGUGCCUAAUACAUGCAAGUCGAGCGAACGGACGAGAAGCUUGCUUCUCUGAUGUUAGCGGCGGACGGGUGAGUAACACGUGGAUAACCUACCUAUAAGACUGGGAUAACUUCGGGAAACCGUAGCUAAUACCGGAUAAUAUUUUGAACCGCAUGGUUCAAAAGUGAAAGACGGUCUUGCUGUCACUUAUAGAUGGAUCCGCGCUGCAUUAGCUAGUUGGUAAGGUAACGGCUUACCAAGGCAACGAUGCAUAGCCAACCUGAGAGGGUGAUCGGCCACACUGGAACUGAGACACGGUCCAGACUCCUACGGGAGGCAGCAGUAGGGAAUCUUCCGCAAUGGGCGAAAGCCUGACGGAGCAACGCCGCGUGAGUGAUGAAGGUCUUCGGAUCGUAAAACUCUGUUAUUAGGGAAGAACAUAUGUGUAAGUAACUGUGUACAUCUUGACGGUACCUAAUCAGAAAGCCACGGCUAACUACGUG
rnacentral:rRNA from 1 species